AAACAUCAGUGGCCAACAGAUCGCCAGAUCGUUGAGCUGCAUUGGCGGGAUUUCGCCGUCUUCGUUUCUCUUUCUUCGCGGACGAACACGCGCUGGGCCUGCAUCAAGCAGGAUCCCACGGUCCCUGACGGGAUAUGCGUUAGGGGCUUGUAGCUCAGUUGGUUAGAGCGCGCGCUUGAUAAGCGUGAGGUCGGAAGUUCAAGUCUUCCCAGGCCCACCACUUUCAUCGAGUGAGCAUUCGUCUUCUGGUUACGGGGCCAUAGCUCAGCUGGGAGAGCGCGUGCUUUGCAAGCAUGAGGUCGUCGGUUCGAUCCCGUCUGGCUCCACCAGAUGGUUUGAUCACCGAGAUCUUGCACCGUCGUCCGCGAAACAUCACUUCGCAUCCUGCUAGUCUGGAUAGACAGCAAGAUGCGUGUUUUCUGACAUCGUAAAGAGGAGAUCGAUCCGAGUUGGGUCGCGCAGCAGAUUGUUGCGCGAACCUUCAUUAUCUCCGGAUCAUUUUCGGCGCUCGCUUUCAGCCGUGAGGUUGAAUGCGAGUUGUAAAAUGAUCCUUUUAGCGAAGCUUGACCGCCUCGCUAUCGGAACGAUCUUACGAAGCAAGCUGGUCUUUCUAGUCAAUGUCCGGCUGCACGUAGCAUUCAUCGAGGGUGCGCGCCGUAAGGCAAUCGUGCAGACAGCAUUCUGCCGAGUGUGUGGACAUUGAUAAUGAGAGC
rnacentral:tRNA from 1 species